rnacentral:rRNA from 1 species
UACGUAGGGUGCGAGCGUUGUCCGGAAUUACUGGGCGUAAAGAGCUCGUAGGUGGUUUGUCGCGUUGUCCGUGAAAUUCCCUGGCUUAACUGGGGGCGUGCGGGCGAUACGGGCAGACUGGAGUACUGCAGGGGAGACUGGAAUUCCUGGUGUAGCGGUGGAAUGCGCAGAUAUCAGGAGGAACACCGAUGGCGAAGGCAGGUCUCUGGGCUGUGAA